GGGUCUCAGGUCAGGCGAGACAACCCGCUGAAUUUAAGCAUAUUAAUAAGCGGAGGAGAAGAAACUAACCAGGAUUCCCCCAGUAGCGGCGAGUGAAGCGGGAAAAGCCCGAGCCUGGAAUCUCCGAUGCAUUGCAUCGGCGAAUUGUAGUCUGGAGAAGGGCCAUCCCCGAGGCGGUCCUCCCAAUGUUGCCGAGGAAAGGCGCGCCGGAGAGGGUGAUAGCCCCGUGCACGGGAACGACCGGCCGAGGGAAAUGAGGCCACUUUGGAGAGUCGGGUUGUUUGGGAAUGCAGCCCAAAGAGGGUGGUAAACUCCAUCUAAGGCUAAAUACUGGCACAAGACCGAUAGCGAACAAGUA
rnacentral:rRNA from 1 species